rnacentral:rRNA from 1 species
AUACGUAGGGGGCGAGCGUUGUCCGGAAUGAUUGGGCGUAAAGGGCGCGUAGGCGGCCCGGUAAGUCUGGAGUGAAAGUCCUGUUUUUAAGGUGGGAAUUGCUUUGGAUACUGUCGGGCUUGAGUGCAGGAGAGGUAAGUGGAAUUCCCAGUGUAGCGGUGAAAUGCGUAGAGAUUGGGAGGAACACCAGUGGCGAAGGCGGCUUACCGGGCUGUAACUGACGCUGAGGCGCGAAAGUGUGGGGAGCAAACAGGAUUAGAUACCCUGGUAGUCCACACUGUAAACGAGGAGUGAUAAGUGUUGUAGGGUUUCCGCCCUUCAGUGCUGCAGCUAACGCAUUAAGCACUCCGCCUGGGGAGUACGGCCGCAAGGUUGAAACUCAAAUGAAUUGGCGGGG